rnacentral:lncRNA from 1 species
UGAGUCCUGGACGCUUUAAUUGACCCAAUUUAUCCAGAGAGUCGUAGUAACCCAAAUCAAUCAUCAUUGUUCUGAGAUUAGCAUCUCCAUUUGUAAUGUACGCAGCAUGCUCUGGCAGGUUGAGUGCUGCUCGGACGGUGGCUGGAGUGACAGCAUACUGCGCUCCGUCAUACUCAAAUACAAUGGAUGGUGACCCAGCUUCACCACCAUUGUCAUAAUGCCCUGUUCUCCAGAAAGUAAUGAUUUGGCUUCCUGAGAGUCUGGCAGGAGCUGU